rnacentral:rRNA from 1 species
GGUUGUCGUCAGCUCGUGUCGUGAGAUGUUGGGUUAAGUCCCGCAACGAGCGCAACCCUUAAGCUUAGUUGCCAUCAUUAAGUUGGGCACUCUAAGUUGACUGCCGGUGACAAACCGGAGGAAGGUGGGGAUGACGUCAAAUCAUCAUGCCCCUUAUGAUUUGGGCUACACACGUGCUACAAUGGACAAUACAAAGGGCAGCGAAACCGCGAGGUCAAGCAAAUCCCAUAAAGUUGUUCUCAGUUCGGAUUGUAGUCUGCAACUCGACUACAUGAAGCUGGAAUCGCUAGUAAUCGUAGAUCAGC